rnacentral:rRNA from 1 species
AUACGUAGGGUGCGAGCGUUGUCCGGAAUUACUGGGCGUAAAGAGCUCGUAGGUGGUUUGUCGCGUCGUCUGUGAAAUUCCGGGGCUUAACUCCGGGCGUGCAGGCGAUACGGGCAUAACUUGAGUACUGUAGGGGAGACUGGAAUUCCUGGUGUAGCGGUGAAAUGCGCAGAUAUCAGGAGGAACACCGGUGGCGAAGGCGAGUCUCUGGGCAGUAACUGACGCUGAGGAGCGAAAGCAUGGGUAGCGAACAGGAUUAGAUACCCUGGUAGUCCAUGCCGUAAACGGUGGGCGCUAGGUGUAGGGGUCUUCCACGACUUCUGUGCCGUAGCUAACGCAUUAAGCGCCCCGCCUGGGGAGUACGGCCGCAAGGCUAAAACUCAAAUGAAUUGACGGGG